rnacentral:rRNA from 1 species
GACGAACGCUGGCGGCGUGCUUAACACAUGCAAGUCGAACGGAAAGGCCCUGCUUUUGUGGGGUGCUCGAGUGGCGAACGGGUGAGUAACACGUGAGUAACCUGCCCUUGACUUUGGGAUAACUUCAGGAAACUGGGGCUAAUACCGGAUAGGAGCUCCUGCUGCAUGGUGGGGGUUGGAAAGUUUCGGCGGUUGGGGAUGGACUCGCGGCUUAUCAGCUUGUUGGUGGGGUAGUGGCUUACCAAGGCUUUGACGGGUAGCCGGCCUGAGAGGGUGACCGGCCACAUUGGGACUGAGAGACGGCCCAGACUCCUACGGUAGGCAGCAGUGGGGAAUAUUGCACAAUGGGCGGAAGCCUGAUGCAGCAACGCCGCGUGCGGGAUGACGGCCUUCGGGGUGUAAACCGCUUUCGCCUGUGACGAAGCGUGAGUGACGGUAAUGGGUAAAGAAGCACCGGCUAACUACGUG